rnacentral:rRNA from 1 species
GAGUUUGAUCGUGGCUCAGAUUGAACGCUGGCGGCAGGCCUAACACAUGCAAGUCGAGCGGAUGAAGGGAGCUUGCUCCUGGAUUCAGCGGCGGACGGGUGAGUAAUGCCUAGGAAUCUGCCUGGUAGUGGGGAUAACGUCCGGAAACGGGCGCUAAUACCGCAUACGUCCUGAGGGGAGAAAGUGGGGGAUCUUCGGACCUCACGCUAUCAGAUGAGCCUAGGUCGGAUUAGCUAGUUGGUGGGGUAAAGGCCUACCAAGGCGACGAUCCGUAACUGGUCUGAGAGGAUGAUCAGUCACACUGGAACUGAGACACGGUCCAGACUCCUACGGGAGGCAGCAGUGGGGAAUAUUGGACAAUGGGCGAAAGCCUGAUCCAGCCAUGCCGCGUGUGUGAAGAAGGUCUUCGGAUUGUAAAGCACUUUAAGUUGGGAGGAAGGGCAGUAAGUUAAUACCUUGCUGUUUGACGUUACCAACAGAAUAAGCACCGGCUAACUUCGUGCCAGCAGCCGCCG